rnacentral:rRNA from 1 species
AAUGAACGCUGGCGGCGUGCCUAAUACAUGCAAGUCGAACGCACAGCGAAAGGUGCUUGCACCUUUCAAGUGAGUGGCGAACGGGUGAGUAACACGUGGACAACCUGCCUCAAGGCUGGGGAUAACAUUUGGAAACAGAUGCUAAUACCGAAUAAAACUCAGUGUCGCAUGACACAAAGUUAAGAGGCGCUUUGGCGUCACCUAGAGAUGGAUCCGCGGUGCAUUAGUUAGUUGGUGGGGUAAAGGCCUACCAAGACAAUGAUGCAUAGCCGAGUUGGGAGACUGAUCGGCCACAUUGGGACUGAGACACGGCCCAAACUCCGACGGGAGGCUGCAGUAGGGAAUCUUCCACAAUGGGCGAAAUCCUGAUGUAGCAACGCCGCGUGUGUGAUGAAGGCUUUCGGGUCGUAAAGCACUGUUGUAUGGGAAGAACAGCUAGAAUAGGGAAUGAUUUUAGUUUGACGGUACCAUACCAGAAAGGGACGGCUAAAUACGUGCCAGCAGCCGCCGCAG